AUUGAACGCUGGCGGCAUGCUUUACACAUGCAAGUCGAACGGUAACAGCACUUCGGUGGCUGACGAGUGGCGAACGGGUGAGUAAUACAUCGGAACGUGCCUAGUAGUGGGGGAUAACUACUCGAAAGAGUAGCUAAUACCGCAUGAGAUCUAAGGAUGAAAGCAGGGGACCUUCGGGCCUUGCGCUACUAGAGCGGCUGAUGGCAGAUUAGGUAGUUGGUGGGAUAAAAGCUUACCAAGCCGACGAUCUGUAGCUGGUCUGAGAGGACGACCAGCCACACUAGGACUGGAACACGGCCCAGACGCCUACGGGAGGCAGCAGAGGGGAAUGUUGGACAAUGGGCGCAAGCCUGAUCCAGCAAUGCCGCGUGCAGGAUGAAGGCCUUCGGGGUGUAAACUGCUUUUGUACGGAACGAAAAGCCCUCUUCUAAUACAGGGGGGUCAUGACGGUACCGUAAGAAUAAGCACCGGCUAACUACGUG
rnacentral:rRNA from 1 species